rnacentral:rRNA from 1 species
CUUACGGGUUGGGCUACACACGUGCUACAAUGGUGGUGACAGUGGGUUAAUCCCCAAAAGCCAUCUCAGUUCGGAUUGGGGUCUGCAACUCGACCCCAUGAAGUUGGAAUCGCUAGUAAUCGCGUAACAGCACGACGCGGUGAAUACGUUCCCGGGCCUUGUACACACCGCCCGUCAAGUCACGAAAGUUGGUAACACCCGAAGCCGGUGGCCUAACCCUUGUGGGGGGAGCCGUCGAAGGUGGGACCAGCGAUUGGGACUAAGUCGUAACAAGGUAGCCGUACCGGAAGGUGCGGCUGGAUCACCUCCUU